rnacentral:rRNA from 1 species
UUGGCGAAGCUGUGCUUGCACAGCCUAGCCAAGGCGGACGGGUGAGUAACGCGUAAGGGACUUGCCCUGCAGUCAGGGAUAACAGACGGAAACGACUGAUAAAACCUGAUAAAGUCAGGCGGAUUCAUGUCCAGCCUGAUGAAAAGGAAUGCUGCAGGAGAGCCUUGCGUCCUAUUAGCUUGUUGGUGGGGUAACGGCCCACCAAGGCGAUGAUAGGUAGCCGGCCUGAGAGGGUGGACGGCCACAAGGGGACUGAGAUACGGCCCUUACUCCUACGGGAGGCAGCAGUGGGGAAUAUUGGACAAUGGGGGCAACCCUGAUCCAGCAAUUCUGUGUGCACGAUGAAGGUCUUCGGAUUGUAAAGUGCUUUCAGCAGGGAAGAAAAAAAUGACGGUACCUGCAGAAGAAGCGACGGCUAAAUACGUGCCAGCAGCCGCGGUAAUACGUAUGUCGCGAGCGUUAUCCGGAAUUAUUGGGCAUAAAGGGCAUCUAGGCGGCCGGAUAAGUCUGGGGUGAAAACUUGCGGCUCAACCGCAAGCCUGCCCUGGAAACUAUGCGGCUAGAGUACUGGAGAGGUGGACGGAACUGCACGAGUAGAGGUGAAAUUCGUAGAUAUGUGCAGGAAUGCCGAUGAUGAAGAUAGUUCACUGGACGGUAACUGACGCUGAAGUGCGAAAGCUAGGGGAGCAAACAGGAUUAGAUACCCUGGUAGUCCUAGCUGUAAACGAUGAUUACUGGGUGUGGGCAUGAAGAGUGUCCGUGCCGAAGCAAAUGCGA